rnacentral:rRNA from 1 species
AUACGGAGGGUGCAAGCGUUAUUCGGAAUCACUGGGCGUAAAGGACGCGUAGGCGGGUUGGCAAGUCAGAUGUGAAAUCCUACAGCUUAACUGUAGAACUGCAUUUGAAACUGCUAACCUAGAGUAUGGGAGGGGGAGAUGGAAUUAGUGGUGUAGGGGUAAAAUCCGUAGAUAUCACUAGGAAUACCGAAGGCGAAGGCGAUCUCCUGGAACAUAACUGACGCUAAGGCGUGAAAGCGUGGGGAGCAAACAGGAUUAGAUACCCCAGUAGUCC